GUAGUUGCCCGAAAACAAGCUCACAGUGGAUUUAAGCCACUUCCUGGGUAGUUUGAACUUGUUUGUUUUUCACAUGCAUCAGAUCUACAUGGACAUGUCUCAGCAGAUGGGUGAGCAGUGCUUACACAGUGUCAAAGACCUUCCAACUUCUCACUCUGCCCUGCUGGCAAGGAGGCUGGGAGAGCACAAGAACUGGGAAAGGGGACAGUCAGAACAGCCCUAGGUUCUGCAUUCACAAGUCAACCUAUGAAAUGACCACCUGACUGAUGCGCACAAGAAAUGGAGAGCAGCAAGCCUGCAUGAGAUGAGCCUCAUCAAAAAUGAACCACAUAUGCAAAGCCAGCAUGUACAUUAAGUUCACGCUGACAAGCUGCAGCUGGUUUCAGGUACACCAGUUGAUGAAGUCUACCAGGAUGUGGUCAACAAUAUAGUAAGCUACACUUAAUAUGACUUUCCCCACAGGCAUUUGCAGCAAACCCACAGCUUUUUUGGAGGUAACUUCACUGCACAACUUUCAACCUGCUGGAUAAAUUGUAAUGGUUAUUCACUGUUGGUAUAGCAGCUAUUUCCAUCCUUGAGCUCAUGUCAUUUAUCUUCUUUCUUUCUUUCCUGAAUGGCUGAAAGUGUAAAAUAAUACUUGAUGAUUAGUUAGGUACCUUUUGGGUAUAAAACUUCAAAGAAGGUGAAGUAAUGAAGAAAACAUAAUAAUCAAAGUUUCCACUUAGAUUUAUUACUUAUUAUUCCUAUGAAUAUUUUUCAAUUUUUAGAAUGCAUGACAUAGAGAAAAAAAGCACGUGAUGCUUUCAGUUUUUAACACUCCGUUUAUUAACAGUAGUUCCAUUCAAUGACCAUAAAAAUUUAGUGAAAUCUAUAAGCAAUGAAGCUUCUUUAGCAUCCAAAAGUAUGCUAGAAGUUUUCAGUUUUCACAACAAUCAAAUGCAAGUUUCCAUUUUGAAUUAUGAUCUAAUAAUGACUAAGACACAAGAAAUUUACCUCUCAUACACUUCAGUAAGGACCUCACUCUGUUCUAGGCAUCCUGUAAAAUACAGUGGGAUGUACAUGACAUAAAUAAACAGUCACAGUCAACGUGAUCUUUGUUCUUUCUCUUUAUUCUGAUUCAUGUUUGCCUUUUACUAUAUCUAAUUAUGCAUAUAGGUAGAGUCAUAAGUCUGCCAUUCAAUUAUUUUGUGGUAAGACUAUUCCAAUGGUGGACUGUCCUCUGUGAUAAGGCACAUGCCAUACUCUCUCAAUUAAAUCAGAACAGAGCGUUUGAUAAAGAUGUCAUAACUUUACCACACUUUACCUAUUUGUGUCAAUGUUUGCUAGACAAAAUUUAUGGAAAAACAUCAAUUAGACAGUUUGGGUGCCUUUGAGAGCCUCCUAGGAUUCUGGGUGAAACUCAUGAUUAAUCUGUACUGUAGCUGUUUCUUUCAAAAGUCAGGAAUCUUAUUUUUCUUCAGGGAGGGGAGUGGUGAAAAAGGGACUUAGAUUUUAGCUCACAAGUGACAUUUUUAUGGAUGAUUUCAUAAAAAGCCACGCAAAAGGAUUAAAUGCAAUUCUUGUCAGAGAACCGAUGAGCAUUUGUAAAAAUAGAAAAUAUUUGGAUUCAAAUAUUUGUGAAAGAUAUUUAAAGCAUCACAAGGCACUUUUUCAGCCAGAACUUUUUCAGUUAAGCAAGUAUUCAGACUGGAGCUACUUAAGGUAAAUUUAGAGAUUUCCACAUGUGAUCCACAGAUUAUAGGUCUACAAUUCUGUUUCUAGACCUGGAGAUCCAGUGUCAACUCUGAGGUCAAUCAAGUAUUGAACCACACAGUAGCUAUUCCUUCAGUGAGGUUCAAAAAAGUCUGUGACUUCUCUCUGCUCCACAAAGCUGUCAGUUUUCAUAAAAUCUGCAAGAACUACAUACCUUCAUGAUUUUUGCCUCCCUCUCAGAUUUGCUUUUGUUUAGUCAACCUUUUCUAAACAUACUAAUGUACUGAUCAGGCAUACAAGUAAUGCAAUUAUUAUUAUUUCUUUCUCAGCAAACCAGGCUAUAAACCUUAGAAAAUAAGCCUCUGAGAUUCUUCAAGACUUCCAGUAUUAAGUGUAGUGCUGUCUCAUAAUGUAUACAACCCCCACUGUUUAGUACAGUACAAUUGAUUUGUGAGAAGAUUAUCUAGUAAUUAGUUGUUUUUUUAACAGUCAUGCCAUUUGACAUAUUAAAUGUUGCGCAUUACUUAAACAAUAGAGUAGAAAUAUCAAUAGUCUGGUGCCACUGGGUAUGACUCUUUUCCAUUAGAAAGCAUAUAUGUGCGAGACUGAAUGGUGAGUAAUAGAAGACUAUGUUUCUUUAUGAUGUAUCUGAUGAAGUCAGCACUAAUUUCUUAAACAACAGAUCUCUGGAGCUGGACAAAUAUAUCAGGAUUAUAUUUAUCUUUCUAGGGCUCGAUCAGAGGCUGAUUUUCAGGUUUAAUAAGAAAUUGACUGGAUUUUAUGCUGGGAGAUACCUUUACCUGGGAGAUACCAAACCUUCGCUACCUUUUAUCUCACUGACAGGCUCAGUAGUAGUUUUCCUUACUUAGGAUUCUCUGCGAUGCUAAUGGCAAGGGUUAUUUUGGGUCUCUGUUGUUCAUGUUUUCUCUUUUCUUUUUCUUCUUCCAGUGUUGCUGUUUAUUCAAUCAUUUUAAGAUUCUAUGAUUAUCUUUUAAAUUCUCUCCCUGGACAAAGAUAUAUAUGGAAGCAUUGACUUGUCAUAAGAUGUUGAUCUGGAGAAUGAUUAUUAGCAGUCAUUACAAAAAUCUGUCAUUGAUGAUGCUGUAAUAAAGUUUUGAGUCUGAAAGUACUCAUUUAGAUAGUUGCAAUGAUACAUAAUAUCAUAUGUAAAAAUAGAGCCUUACUUAGUAGUUCCUCACUUACUUUUGGUCUGUAGCUAACUUGAUUGUAAUGGACCCUAGACACAAGCUGUCCCUGGAGUCCCUAAUAAUGCUGUUUAGUUGUCAUGGUUUCUUAGGCUGUCACUCCUGUAACUGUUAAAUGUUGCUAUAAGUUUAGAGAAGUGAGAAGGAAAUGAACAGUACACAUUUAAUCUCCCUAAGUCUUCUAGAUGAUCAUACAUUUGCUUGAGGAACAUUAGAUUCAUUGAGACCCCACCUGGUUUGGGGUAAUUUCUUAAAAAAUAUCAUAUUACUGGUAGAACUUGCUUUCAAUAAGGUUUCUGUAUUAUGGAGAAGUUAUUUACAACCUUGGUGGGUUCCCCUUUGAAGUCAUUUGUCUUGUUGAGAGGGGAAGUGGAGCUGGCCUUUGAAGAGUCUCAUUUCAUCUUGGAUCUCUCACUUUGAAGUACACUUUACCCUGUGGGCAUACCCUGUGGAAAAUCUCUCAUUGUUCAUGGGUCUCCUAAGAAAAUAUUCCCUAGAGGCACACUUCCCUGAUGAACAAUUUACCUUGGAGAUAUGUGCAAUGAUGUAUUUUUCAUUCUUGCCAACAGCAGGCAGAGUCUAGUUAUAUCAAACAAUCAAAUUAUUUUAUAGAGAAAAUAUAGGUGAUUUUAGUAGAAUAUAUAGAGGACAGUUGCAUAAUGUGUACAACAUCCAAAUCUUGAUAAACUCAACUUCCUUCCUUAAUGCUACUGAAAAAAUAAUGUAUUUCAGUUCUAACACUCUGCCUCUAGACAUCCUUAAUUAUUUGAAUACUUCAACGCUGAGGCUUUCUCAUUCAUAUUUUUUUAGAUGAAAAAUUCUCUGAAAGCCUGAAAAAAAACCAUGAGUUAUUUUCAGACGUGAUGAUUUUGAAAGAUAGCUACUGUGACUGUGAUAAAAGCAAAGACAAUGUACAUUUUUGCUUUAAAGAAUUUUCACUAUUUUUCAAUAAACAGAAAAGUAAACCUUCUUUAUGGCCCAGUGUUCAUUGAGGCCUGGUACCUCAGUGAGGUUGGAAACUACAAAUUAGGAACAUAAACACAAACAAACAGCCACACCUAUAGUCCAUAAAAGCUUUUCAACCAUUAAAGCAACACUACUUUUGCUAUAUCCUGCCACUGCCUAAUUUCAAAGGCGUAAUAAAGGGUAAUUGCUAUGCAUACAGGAUCAGCUCUAGGCUAACCAAAACAAGCAGCAAACUUGAACAACAAAUUUCCAGAACAGAACAACUGCCAUGGCAUUACUCCUUGUUUUGCUUAUACCACAGCCUUAGAAAUCUAGAUUUACUGCUGCAGCUGCAUUGAGGUGCGUGGGAUGCAGUGAUGAGUGCAAGUGGGAGUUCUCCCAGAGGCAGAAAUAAUUGCUCCAAGACUUCUAAUACCCCCAAUAGCAGAAAGAGCUGAGAAUCUGAACUUGCAUGACUUUUCUUGGUGCCUUAUUCUUUGCUCUUUUAUGUUGCAGGAAUGACCUAUUUCUGGUCGUGUCCUACAACUUACUCUGAAAGUAUGUAGGGUUGGAAGCCUGGAACUGAUGCAGUACUCCAGACAGUCAAUACUAACAAUAAACCUACCACUUACAGAUGGUGUGGGUUGUUCAGGAAAUCUACGUUGGAUUCGGGAUUGUUGCACAAAUACCAGAUUAAAUUGUCACAUUUCAUUCUGAAUGCUAAGAGAACACUUGGUAAAUUGCAGUGGAUAUUAUAGCAUGCACAGUAUGCAGUUUGUUUAUAUAUAUAAAAGCAUAUGCUUAUAAAACUUCUAUUACCUCUGAAAAUAGAGGACUCUGACAGGAUAUAAGAACUCAAACUAUUUGAGUGCUUCCUUUAAAAUUAUGUAACUGAUUUGGGUAAAGAUAAUAUAAUAUUUCCCAUUGCACUAUAUUUAAGUAUUAAUGGAUUUCUCCUAUGAAAUCUCUAUCUCUCUUCUGCAAGGCAACCUUUGACCAUCUUACUUGUUUGAUACUACGACCCUUUCCAUGGCAACAGAUUGUGAUGUCAUGCACAAACAGAUUAUGAGGUCAAAAAGUGCCCAGGAUGGAGCCAGGGGAAGAUGUAGGAAAGAUUCUGAAACUAUGUAAAUAUAUUUCAAAGCAAGUAUUCAAAAGAAGUGGAAAGCACACUUACAAUAAAAGUAAUGAUUGUUUAAAAUAACUUUUCAAAGAGGCUUUGUGGUUGUGUCAACCUUAAUAGAAUUAAUAGUAAUAGCAAUUGAGAUUGCGAUAGUGAUAGCAAUAAUCAUGGUAACAGCAAUAAUAAAAAUGUUAGAACUGUCAGUGCUAUGAGUUUCAGAUCUGUUGCUCACAUAAUAUUCUUUUCAUCGUAUCCUAUGAAUAAUUAAAAAAAAAAAAAUCAACAGUGGAA